UUAAAUUCUUAAAAUAAAUUUGGCACAGUGAUUAAACAUUCUGCAUUUCAGCCACAUUCUGCAUUUCAGAAUGAAACAACAUUCAAUACAUUCAAGAAACUGUGAUGAAAAACUAAGCUAAACAUGAUGGCUAUAUAUAUAUAUAUAUAUAUAGGAUAAACUAAGAACAUAUCCUACACAGGUAAGAACAUACAGCCACUGGUAAACAUGUUAUUUACUUUUUUGUGUAAUGUCUAUUAGCUCUCCAUUUCUCUUUUUUUCCUCUAUGGCAGUGCACACUGGUUGCAGUGUGCACAACUGUCGGCAACGUUCUGCAAAGUCGGACAGCUUCUGCCCUUUUUGAAAUGUAGCACGCAAUUUGUUGUAAGCUGUGAUGUCACAGGCCUCCAAUUCAGCAAUGGCACAUGAGUCCACAAUCGUUUUCCUGUCCACGCCACACUUGAGGUAAGCCUCUGUUUUGGUUGCUCCUUUUGACAGGUACCUCAGGACCUUUUUGUAUCUUCCUAUUACUUGCUCUGGUAAAAAUACUGACAAAGAACAACAUUUUGCUAGAUUAUAGUACAUUAUUAAUAAAAACAAUGUCUUCUUAUAACACUAAAAUCCAUUAAUCUUAACAAGUUUCUCCAAAUAUCAUUAUUUUGUAGUUAUUCUGAAAGCAUAUAGGCAGACUCUACAUGAGAGUGGCAUAUCAUACAGUACAGAAGAUAAUAUAUCAGUGAAUACAUUUAUAAAUAUAGGAAUUUCUUUUUUCAGUAAAGGCAGACUUCCUGAAUUCAGAAGUGACUGAGUGUAAAGCCAUAGCCACCCAUGCAUAUUUUAGGGCUUCUGUGUAUAAUAAAUAAUAUGUAAAAGUACAAUAUAGUACCAUACAAAUUAUUAAAAUAUACUGUUAAUUUACUUGCGUUACACCAUAAAAAUUUUUGUAUUGAGCCAAUGACCUAUUGGUCACAUAUCAACAUUUUAUCAACAUGUUAUCAACAUUUGCAGGACAAGAGUUUACCAAACUUACAUUUUUGGAAUGGAAGAGAAUUAAGCACAAAAAAAACUAAUAUAAAUAAUGCUGAAAGGCCACCGAACAUACCUCUUUUGCUUUUUGAACUUUUCUGUGGUUUUUUUCCCCUUGUUCUUUUUGGUCUUGUGGGGUGAUGAAGAGGAGUAAGCCUCGGAGGAAGAUGAGGACUGGGAGGAACUAGAAGAUAUUGUCAAGGACUGAGAUUACGUCAGGUGGAUAUGAUCCAGGACGGCAUAGCCGGAAGCUCAGCAACACUGAGCAAAAUGACAAAGAAGCUAAGAAUGGUCUGUAAAAAAGCUUUGAGAAAGUACAAGAGAAAGACAGGACAGUUUGUGGGGGGCAGGACAGAGUUUGUCAUUAUUGAUGAAAGCAACUUCCGUCACAAAAGAAAGGUUUCUGGCAUAUCUACCAGCUCAGAAAAGCCGAAAAGAAAACAUGCAGCCGGUUCGUUUUGGGCUUUCUGAGAAUGAAACUGAAACCUGUGAGCUGUUUCAAUCUGCAGCCAGUUUCUACAGUGACUACGUUUACAUGGACAUCAGUAAUCCAAUUAUUUACCUUAUUCUGAA